rnacentral:rRNA from 1 species
AAUAGAUACCCUGGUAGUCCACGCCGUAAACGUUGGGCGCUAGGUGUGGGGCUCAUUCCACGAGUUCCGUGCCGCAGCUAACGCAUUAAGCGCCCCGCCUGGGGAGUACGGCCGCAAGGCUAAAACUCAAAGGAAUUGACGGGGGGCCCGCACAAGCGGCGGAGCAUGCGGAUUAAUUCGAUGCAACGCGAAGAACCUUACCAGGGCUUGACAUAUACCGGAAACACCCAGAGGUGGGUGCCCCGCAAGGUCGGUAUACAGGUGGUGCAUGGUUGUCGUCAGCUCGUGUCGUGAGAUGUUGGGUUAAGUCCCGCAACGAGCGCAACCCUCGUUCUAUGUUGCCAGCACGUUAUGGUGGGGACUCAUAGAAGACUGCCGGGGUCAACUCGGAGGAAGGUGGGGAUGACGUCAAAUCAUCAUGCCCCUUAUGUCCUGGGCUUCACGCAUGCUACAAUGGCCAGUACAAAGGGCUGCGAUACCGCGAGGUGGAGCGAAUCCAAAAAACUGGUCUCAGUUCGGAUUGGGGUCUGCAACUCCG